AAGGAGAACUAUUAUACACAACAUUUCAAGAUGACUGGUUGCACACAAGAGAAUUAGACUGACUGAAAUAUUAGAAUGUUGAAAGGUCUGUGAAUAGGAUUUUGAACAGAAAAAAAACCGGCAAUCUUCAUGCUCUCACUUUGCUCUCAGCAAGAACACCUGGGAUUCUUCAGCCUUGCCAUGUGUGGAGAACAGCCCAAAAAUAGGCCUGCGAACACUUCCAAGAUGGAUUGCUACUCUUUUCGAACAUCAACAACAAAAGAAAUCAACAUACAACAUACUAACCUCCAUCACUACUGAUUGCAGUCACUUUGAAGAUUAAUAUAAUG